rnacentral:rRNA from 1 species
AUUGAACGCUGGCGGCAUGCCUUACACAUGCAAGUCGAACGGCAGCACGGGAGCAAUCCUGGUGGCGAGUGGCGAACGGGUGAGUAAUGUAUCGGAACGUACCUUUCAGUGGGGGAUAACGUAGCGAAAGUUACGCUAAUACCGCAUAUUCUGUGAGCAGGAAAGCAGGGGAUCGCAAGACCUUGCGCUGAUUGAGCGGCCGAUAUCAGAUUAGCUAGUUGGUGAGGUAAAGGCUCACCAAGGCGACGAUCUGUAGCGGGUCUGAGAGGAUGAUCCGCCACACUGGAACUGAGACACGGUCCAGACUCCUACGGGAGGCAGCAGUGGGGAAUUUUGGACAAUGGGCGCAAGCCUGAUCCAGCCAUGCCGCGUGGGUGAAGAAGGCCUC